rnacentral:rRNA from 1 species
CAAGUCGAACGGUAAGGCCCCUUCGGGGGUACACGAGUGGCGAACGGGUGAGUAACACGUGGGUAAUCUGCCCUGCACUUCGGGAUAAGCCUGGGAAACCGGGUCUAAUACCGGAUAUGAACUCCUGCCGCAUGGUGGGGGUUGGAAAGUUUUUCGGUGCAGGAUGAGCCCGCGGCCUAUCAGCUUGUUGGUGGGGUAAUGGCCUACCAAGGCGACGACGGGUAGCCGGCCUGAGAGGGUGAUCGGCCACACUGGGACUGAGACACGGCCCAGACUCCUACGGGAGGCAGCAGUGGGGAAUAUUGCACAAUGGGCGAAAGCCUGAUGCAGCGACGCCGCGUGGGGGAUGACGGUCUUCGGAUUGUAAACCCCUUUCAGUAGGGACGAAGCGCAAGUGACGGUACCUGCAGAAGAAGCACCGGCUAACUACGUGCCAGCAGCCGCGGUAAUACGUAGGGUGCGAGCGUUGUCCGGAAUUACUGGGCGUAAAGAGCUCGUAGGCGGUUUGUCACGUCGUCUGUGAAAUCCCUCGGCUUAACCGGGGGCGUGCAGGCGAUACGGGCAGACUUGAGUACUACAGGGGAGACUGGAAUUCCUGGUGUAGCGGUGAAAUGCGCAGAUAUCAGGAGGAACACCGGUGGCGAAGGCGGGUCUCUGGGUAGUAACUGACGCUGAGGAGCGAAAGCAUGGGUAGCGAACAGGAUUAGAUACCCUGGUAGUCCAUGCCGUAAACGGUGGGCGCUAGGUGUGGGGUCCUUCCACGGACUCCGUGCCGUAGCUAACGCAUUAAGCGCCCCGCCUGGGGAGUACGGCCGCAAGGCUAAAACUC